AAGACAAAGAAUUUUGGAUUCUUAGUCUGUUCUUACAGCAAGCUGGGAAUGGCUUGCCUUACCUUCUGGGAAACCUUCUUAGGUAACAAAGAUUCUGUGUCUUCCCAGAAUUAUCUUCCAGGGUUUCCUACUUUUCACGUCCACUGGCCUCACAUAUGGUAAACAAGCCUUCUUUUUUGGGAUCUGUUCCCAUAUUUCUCUAUUACUUAAGAAAGCAAAGUCUUCUCACUUAGGAAGGAGCUAACAGCUUUAGGCUUUACCAUCACUUUACUUCUGUGCUUAUAUGGACAAUAUUUUAUUGUUACUUAGGUAACAACACAUAAUCCUAUCUUAAUCAAGUCUCAGAGAGCCGAUAGGACAAAACCACAAAGGAUUUUUGUUUGACCUCAUAAAAAGAGAGGCACCUAUGACUAUUAGCUUUGUGUUGUGUUAUUAUUGCAGCAUCACAUAGGCAGAGCCAUCAAGCCAAAAGUGGUAAUUUGCCUCUCCUAGGUUGAAAUGGUAAAAUGUUACCAAUAUAAAUAUUUCAGAAACUGUAUGCUGUAUGAGAUCAUGCAUGUCUCCACCGGUCAUGAUAUGUUUCUAUUUGUCAGAGUUAAGCUUGCUUCUUUGUCAAAUGUUAGACAACUAGAGGACCACAGCUCUCACCCAUCUGUGAGGACUACAUGCCAACACCCCUAGUGGGUUCCUGAAACCCUGGAAAGUACAAAACACUUUAUAUAUCAUGUUUUUUUGUAUGUAUGUAUGUGUGAGAUACAUAGCUAGCUUAUGAUAAAAUCCAAAUUACAAGUGAGGCACAAUAAAAGAUUAACAAUAAUAUCAAAAUGGAACGAUUAGAAUACAGCAUAAUAAAAGUUAUAUGAAAUACAGUCUUGUUCUCUGUCUCUCCAGAUACACUUUAAAACAUUUUUCUUUUUUAUUAUUUUAUGCAUAUAGGUAUUUUGCUUGCAUGUAUGUCUGUGCACCACAUGCCUAUCACCUCAUGUGGAGGCCAGAAGAGGGCAUCAGAUCCCCUGGAACUGGAGUUACAGUUAUGAGCUGCCAUAAACAACUACAUCUCCUUGUCAGCUGCAUUAUUAUUCCUGUAAUGAACUCUCAUCAGAUUUUUCCCUUUUGAAAAUGAGCAGUAAUAAGCCCCCUCCCUCAGCCUCAGGGGCAGAACCCACAGCCUCACAUAUGUGAGACAAGCACUUCAGGACUGAGAACCACCCUAGAACAAGUUUGAAGCCACACUUGUGAAUAGUAAACUAAGACAAAAUUUUGAAAACUAGCUGAA